AGGACGAACGCUGGCGGCGUGCUUAACACAUGCAAGUCGAGCGGAAAGGCCCUUCGGGGUACUCGAGCGGCGAACGGGUGAGUAACACGUGAGCAAUCUGCCCUUAGCUUCGGGAUAGCCCCGGGAAACCGGGAUUAAUACCGAAUACGACCUCGGCCGACAUCGGCCUUGGUGGAAAGUUUUUCGGCUAGGGAUGAACUCGCGGCCUAUCAGCUUGUUGGUGGGGUAAUAGCCUACCAAGGCGACGACGGGUAG
rnacentral:rRNA from 1 species